CCUACGGGAGGCUGCAGUGGGGAAUAUUGCACAAUGGGCGCAAGCCUGAUGCAGCCAUGCCGCGUGUGUGAAGAAGGCCUUCGGGUUGUAAAGCACUUUCAGCGGGGAGGAAGGCGGUGAGGUUAAUAACCUCAUCGAUUGACGUUACCCGCAGAAGAAGCAACGGCUAACUCCGUGCCAGCAGCCGCGGUAAUACGGAGGGUGAAGCGUUAAUCGGAAUUACUGGGCGUAAAGCGCACGCAGGCGGUCUGUCAAGUCGGAUGUGAAAUCCCCGGGCUCAACCUGGGAACUGCAUUCGAAACUGGCAGGCUAGAGUCUUGUAGAGGGGGGUAGAAUUCCAGGUGUAGCGGUGAAAUGCGUAGAGAUCUGGAGGAAUACCGGUGGCGAAGGCGGCCCCCUGGACAAAGACUGACGCUCAGGUGCGAAAGCGUGGGGAGCAAACAGGAUUAGAUACCCUGGUAGUC
rnacentral:rRNA from 1 species